GUCCCUAAAGAGCAAUAGAUAGCGUGUUGGACUUAUAAUCCAAAGGUCGUGGGUUCGAAUCCCACCAGGGAUA
rnacentral:tRNA from 1 species